rnacentral:rRNA from 1 species
CUGUUCAUACAUAGCACCAGGAACACACCUGAUCUGGUCAGAUUUCAUAAGCUAAGCAAGGUUGGAUGUGGCUGGUACUUGGAUGGAAGACCACCAGGGAAGAUCAAGGAUCCAUUAGGACAGU